rnacentral:rRNA from 1 species
GACGAACGCUGGCGGCGUGCUUAACACAUGCAAGUCGAACGGAAAGGCCCUGCUUUUGUGGGGUGCUCGAGUGGCGAACGGGUGAGUAACACGUGAGUAACCUGCCCUUGACUUUGGGAUAACUUCAGGAAACUGGGGCUAAUACCGGAUAGGAGCUCCUGCUGCAUGGUGGGGGUUGGAAAGUUUCGGCGGUUGGGGAUGGACUCGCGGCUUAUCAGCUUGUUGGUGGGGUAGUGGCUUACCAAGGCUUUGACGGGUAGCCGGCCUGAGAGGGUGACCGGCCACAUUGGGACUGAGAUACGGCCCAGACUCCUACGGGAGGCAGCAGUGGGGAAUAUUGCACAAUGGGCGGAAGCCUGAUGCAGCAACGCCGCGUGCGGGAUGACGGCCUUCGGGUUGUAUACCGAUUUCGCCUGUGACGAAGCGUGAGUGACGGUAAUGGGUAAAGAAGCACCGGCUAACUACGUG